rnacentral:rRNA from 1 species
GACGAACGCUGGCGGCGUGCCUAAUACAUGCAAGUAGAACGCUGAAGGAGGAGUUUGCUUCUCUGGAUGAGUUGCGAACGGGUGAGUAACGCGUAGGUAACCUGCCUGGUAGCGGGGGAUAACUAUUGGAAACGAUAGCUAAUACCGCAUAAUAUUGACUAUUGCAUGAUAGUCAGUUGAAAGGUGCAACUGCACCACUACCAGAUGGACCUGCGUUGUAUUAGCUAGUUGGUGGGGUAACGGCUCACCAAGGCGACGAUACAUAGCCGACCUGAGAGGGUGAUCGGCCACACUGGGACUGAGACACGGCCCAGACUCCUACGGGAGGCAGCAGUAGGGAAUCUUCGGCAAUGGACGGAAGUCUGACCGAGCAACGCCGCGUGAGUGAAGAAGGUUUUCGGAUCGUAAAGCUCUGUUGUAAGAGAAGAACGAGGGUGAGAGUGGAAAGCUCACACUGUGACGGUAUCUUACCAGAAAGAGACGGCUAACUACGUG